rnacentral:rRNA from 1 species
GACGAACGCUGGCGGCGUGCUUAACACAUGCAAGUCGAACGGAAAGGCCCUGCUUUUGUGGGGUUCUCGAGUGGCGAACGGGUGAGUAACACGUGAGUAACCUGCCCUUGACUUUGGGAUAACUUCAGGAAACUGGGGCUAAUACCGGAUAGGAUCUCCUGCUGCAUGGUGGGGGUUGGAAAGUUUCGGCGGUUGGGGAUGGAUUCGCGGCUUAUGAGCUUGUUGGUGGGGUAGUGGCUUACCAAGCCUUUGACGGGUAGCCGGCCUGAGAGGGUGACCGGGCACAUUGGGACUACGAGACGGCGCAGACUCGAACGGGGGGCAGCAGUGGGGAGUAUUGCACAAUGGGCGGAAGUCUGAUGCAGAAACGCCGGGUGCGGGAUGACGGCCUUCUGGGUGUAAACCGCUUUCGCCUGUGACGAAGCGGUAGUGACGGUAAUGGGUAAAGAAGCACCGGCUAACUACGUG